rnacentral:rRNA from 1 species
UACGUAGGGUGCAAGCGUUGUCCGGAAUUAUUGGGCGUAAAGAGCUCGUAGGCGGUCUGUCGCGUCGGAUGUGAAAAUCCAGGGCUUAACCCUGGACCUGCAUUCGAUACGGGCAGACUAGAGUUCGGUAGGGGAGACUGGAAUUCCUGGUGUAGCGGUGAAAUGCGCAGAUAUCGGGAAGAACACCCGUGGCGAAGGCGGCUCUCUGGGACGGUACUGACGCUGAGACGCGAAAGCGUGGGGAGCGAACAGG